UACGGAGGGUGCGAGCGUUGUCCGGAAUCACUGGGCGUAAAGGGCGCGUAGGCGGCCUGAUAAGUAGGGGGUGAAAUCCUGCGGCUUAACCGCAGGGCUGCCUUCUAAACUGUCAGGCUAGAGCACAGUAGAGGCAGGUGGAAUUCCCGGUGUAGCGGUGGAAUGCGUAGAGAUGGGGGAGAACACGCGUGGCGAAGGCGGCCAGCUAGACCAGUUCUGACACUGAGGCGCGACAGCGUGGGGAGCAAACAGG
rnacentral:rRNA from 1 species